AUGAAGAACGUAGCGAAAUGCGAUAAGUAAUGUGAAUUGCAGAAUUCAGUGAAUCAUCGAAUCUUUGAACGCACAUUGCGCCCGCCAGUAUUCUGGCGGGCAUGCCUGUUCGAGCGUCAUUUCAACCAUCAAGCCCCAGGCUUGUGUUGGGGGCCUGCAGCUGCUGCAGCCCCCUAAAAGCAGUGGCGGACUCGCUGUCAUACCGAGCGCAGUAGUUACAUCUCGCUCUGGGCAUGGCGGCGGGCACCUGCCGUAAAACACUCUUUCUAAGGUUGACCUCGGAUCAGGUAGGAAUACCCGCUGAACUUAAGCAUAUCAAUAAGGGAGGA
rnacentral:misc_RNA from 1 species